UUUUGUAUUCAAUAUGGAGACAUUAAAGACAUUUUAGCAGAGGAGUGAUCUAAUCACAGCUCCACAUUUGACAAUGGAUAUGGGAUGGAUUAGCGGGCAGAAAGAUGGGAAAAGGAGAAACUAGCCCUAGGCCAUUGCAGGAGCCCAGGUAAAAGGGGGCAUCUAAGAGGGCAACUUGGAGAGAUGGGGAUGGAUGCGAGAGAACUUGCAAAGGAGAAUCAGGGGAACCUGGAAAUUGACUAGAUGAGGUGGACUGAGGUAGAAUGAGUCUAUGCCAGGUGACGGGGAAGCGACUCCUUUAUGCUGCUUUCUCAAACACCCCUGGAGCCUCUUUGAAGGGUAUAUCAAGUCCCGAGGAGCCAGUGUUUGAGAAGAGAUGAUAAACUGAGCUUCAGACAUCUUGAGUUGCUGAUGGGGUAUCUUGAUCAAGUGGUUCAACAGGCAGAGAGUGGAGUUAGGAAGAGAUAUGCAUGGGGGCGGUCUGCCCAGAAUCCCCCUUGCAGUCAUGGGAAGGCUGUGAGGUCACAAAGAGAGACCUUGACAGUGGAGAGCAUGGAUUUAUCAAUGGGGAAUCCCAUUGAUUUGACAAUCACCCUGCAUAAGAGGUGGAAGGCAGAGAGCGCUGGAGCUGGACAGGGAGAUGAGAAGGCAGUCUGAGAGGCGGUGAGGAGCAGCCGUCGGUGGCCUGGUGGCAGUUUAUAGGCCCAGGGCCAUAUGUCCCAGAGUGACAUGCAGGGUUGCAAUUCUGCAAUGACAAAGAACAGCUGCGGUGACCACAGCGUGAACCACGACUGAUGACAAUCUGCAGGGAUUUUUGCAUCAAACCGGCAGUGUGGCUCGCAUAAUGGAUGAUGUCAUCCUUGAAGGCAGAAACCAUGUGUCCCCAGAAGUAUGUUGGCUCUCAAUAAGUAGCUGUUGAAUAAAUGAGUUGCUGGAUAUUCACAACUCACAUUUGCUAAGCGUGGAUGUGCCAGGUUCCGUGUGUGUGUUUAUGUCAUUGAAUCUUCGUAACAACUUAAUGAGGGAUGGGGAUAACAACUUAUUUACAGAUAAAUAACAACUUAUUUACAGAUGGGGAUACAGAGGCUUAAAGAAGUUCAAUAACCUGCCUCAGUUUGCCCAGCUAGUUAGUGGUUGAGCGACCUCUUAUCCACUCUUAGAGGGACUGGGAAAGCCUCCAGCUGAGGAUUUGAAUCUCAGGGGUGUUCACAGCCACUGUGAACCAAGAUAGGGAAGAUGUGUGGUGGCGAGCUUUCUUCUAACUCUCUUCAAGUAGCUUCUC
rnacentral:lncRNA from 1 species